rnacentral:rRNA from 1 species
UACGUAGGGGGCUAGCGUUGUCCGGAAUCACUGGGCGUAAAGCGCACGUAGGCGGAUUGCUAAGUCAGGGGUGAAAUCCUGGAGCUCAACUCCAGAACUGCCCUUGAUACUGGCGGUCUCGAGUCCGGGAGAGGUGAGUGGAACUGCGAGUGUAGAGGUGAAAUUCGUAGAUAUUCGCAAGAACACCAGUGGCGAAGGCGGCUCACUGGCCCGGUACUGACGCUGAGGUGCGAAAGCGUGGGGAGCAAACAGG